rnacentral:rRNA from 1 species
AAGACGGUGGAGCACGUGGUUUAAUUCGAUGCAAACCGAAGAACUUACCUGGUCUUGACAUCCCGGAGACCCUUAGGAACUAGGGGUGCUUCCAUCUGGAAGAAUCUGGAGACAGGUGCUGCAUGGCUGUCGUCAGCUCGUGUCGUGAGAUGUUGGGUUAAGUCCCGCAACGAGCGCAACCCUUGCCUUUAGUUGCCAUCAGUUCGGCUGGGCACUCUAUGGAGACUGCCACCUAAAGUGGAGGAAGGUGGGGAUGACGUCAAGUCAGCAUGGCCCUUACGUCCGGGGCUACACACGUGCUACAAUGGCCGGUACAAAGGGUUGCGAAGCCGUGAGGUGGAGCGAAUCUCAAAAAGCCGGCCUCAGUUCGGAUUGGAGGCUGCAACUCGCCUCCAUGAAGUCGGAAUCGCUAGUAACCGCAGAUCAGCUACGUUGCGGUGAAUACGUUCCCGGGCCUU